UGAGUAACGCGUGGGUAACCUGCCUCAUACAGGGGGAUAACAGUUAGAAAUGACUGCUAAUACCGCAUAAGACCACAGCACCGCAUGGUGCAGGGGUAAAAACUCCGGUGGUAUGAGAUGGACCCGCGUCUGAUUAGGUAGUUGGUGGGGUAACGGCCUACCAAGCCGACGAUCAGUAGCCGACCUGAGAGGGCGACCGGCCACAUUGGGACUGAGACACGGCCCAAACUCCUACGGGAGGCAGCAGUGGGGAAUAUUGCACAAUGGGGGAAACCCUGAUGCAGCGACGCCGCGUGAGCGAUGAAGUAUUUCGGUAUGUAAAGCUCUAUCAGCAGGGAAGAAAAUGACGGUACCUGACUAAGAAGCGCCGGCUAAAUACGUGCCAGCAGCCGCGGUAAUACGUAUGGUGCAAGCGUUAUCCGGAUUUACUGGGUGUAAGGGAGCGUAGACGGAGUGGCAAGUCUGAUGUGAAAACCCGGGGCUCAACCCCGGGACUGCAUUGGAAACUGUCAAUCUAGAGUACCGGAGAGGUAAGCGGAAUUCCUAGUGUAGCGGUGAAAUGCGUAGAUAUUAGGAGGAACACCAGUGGCGAAGGCGGCUUACUGGACGGUAACUGACGUUGAGGCUCGAAAGCGUGGGGAGCAAACAGGAUUAGAUACCCUGGUAGUCCACGCCGUAAACGAUGACUACUAGGUGUCGGGCAGCAAAGCUGUUCGGUGCCGCAGCAAACGCAAUAAGUAGUCCACCUGGGGAGUACGUUCGCAAGAAUGAAACUCAAAGGAAAUGACGGGGACCCGCACAAGCGGUGCAGCAUGUGGUUUAAUUCGAAGCAACGCGAAGAACCUUACCUGCUCUUGACAUCUCCCUGACCGGCAAGUAAUGUUGCCUUUCCUUCGGGACAGGGAUGACAGGUGGUGCAUGGUUGUCGUCAGCUCGUGUCGUGAGAUGUUGGGUUAAGUCCCGCAACGAGCGCAACCCCUAUCUUUAGUAGCCAGCGGUUUGGCCGGGCACUCUAGAGAGACUGCCAGGGAUAACCUGGAGGAAGGUGGGGAUGACGUCAAAUCAUCAUGCCCCUUAUGAGCAGGGCUACACACGUGCUACAAUGGCGUAAACAAAGGGAGGCAGAACCGCGAGGUCGAGCAAAUCCCAAAAAUAACGUCUCAGUUCGGAUUGUAGUCUGCAACUCGACUACAUGAAGCUGGAAUCGCUAGUAAUCGCGAAUCAGAAUGUCGCGGUGAAUACGUUCCCGGGUCUUGUACACACCGCCCGUCACACCAUGGGAGUCAGUAACGCCCGAAGUCAGUGACCCAACCGUAAGGAGGGAGCUGCCGAAGGUGGGACCGAUAACUGGGGUGAAGUCGUAACAAGGUA
rnacentral:rRNA from 1 species